rnacentral:tRNA from 1 species
AAAGUACUAGUAAAACCGAUUAUAACACAACCUUGUCAAGGUCGAAUUACGGGUUUAAAUCCCGUGUACUUUG